rnacentral:rRNA from 1 species
UACAGAGGUCUCAAGCGUUGUUCGGAUUCAUUGGGCGUAAAGGGUGCGUAGGUGGCGCGGUAAGUCGGGUGUGAAAUCUUGGAGCUUAACUCCGAAACUGCAUUCGAUACUGCCGUGCUUGAGGACUGGAGAGGAGACUGGAAUUUACGGUGUAGCGGUGAAAUGCGUAGAUAUCGUAAGGAAGACCAGUGGCGAAGGCGGGGUCUCUGGACAGUUCCUGACGCUGAGGCACGAAGGCCAGGGGAGCAAACGGG